UUCGUAGAUAGGUGCGGGUAAGGGACCGGAGGAUGACUCCUGAAUUUUGUGCCAUAUAUGAAGGUUAGACACAGGAGAGGGCACCUUGCCUAGUCCGUCAAAUUAAGUGCCAGCAGACGCGGUGAAACUUAAGGGCUAGUUUUGUGGGCAAAAGCGUAAAGGGUGUGAUAGGCCGUUUUAAUUAAAAAGGGUUUUAUAAUUUAAGAAGGUAAAUGGAAUUUUUUUGUAGCGGUGGAAUGUGUAAAUAGAAAAAAGAACUUUAGACGUGAAGACUAUUUAUUUUUGAGAUUAUAGUGUGAUGGCUAAAACACGAGAGUAUGGGGAGCAAACAGGAUUAGGGACCCUGGUAGUCUAUACUGUAAAUAAUGAAAAAGAUGUGAAGCAAUCCUAAAAAGUCAGAAAUUUUCCGCUUGAGUAGUACGACCGCAAGGUUAAAAUUCAAAAAACUUGGCUGUUCACUGUUUUAAUUAGAGGAGCGUGUCGUUUAAUUCGAUAGUCCGCGAGAGACCUUACCCAAACUUGAAUCCUUCAUUGACAGGUAUUGCAUGGCCGUCGUCAAUUUGUGUAUUAAACAUAAAACAGAUUUAACCCAGUGGUUUGUCACUUGAUGAAGUCAGGUCUUAUUGUCCUAAUGUUUGGGGAUUAGAUGCGCUACAUUUUUUUAUACAAUAGGAAACUUUGAGUGUGAAACCUGAAAAUAAGAGUUC
rnacentral:rRNA from 1 species